UAAAAGGCAAAAUAUGUUUUAUUUGUGCAGAUUAUUGUAUUCACAUGUGGUAGUAGAUAGGAAUUUUCGUUCUUCCACUUCUGAUUUAGAUUAAACAUUUGAACAGCCUUUUCUGAAGGAUAGUUUAUUGCAAUUUGUAAACACUUGUUGUCUAUAUUGAACUAUCCUGCACAUACACAUUAUUUAACAAUCAUUAACACAUCAGGUGUACAUUUUCAAUGCAAUGCAACCAGGAUGAUGACAUUUGUUUAUGCACAAAUAGACAGCAACCAAAACUUAGAGCUAAGAACACGUUUUAAAUCCAGUCCAGAUAAUGGCAUGCGUCAACGUUAUUUGCUGAUGUAAGGUGUAACCAUCACCUACAUUUUGCAGGUCAGGUGAGAUUCUGAGCGCAGGGAAAGGGAGAGGCCACUGGCCUCUUUUCUGAUAACGACUGCCACUGUGACCACAAAGGACUACAAUUAUCGACAAAAUAUCGCAACCUAACUGAAACUUCAUUCUGUAACAGGAUGCAUAGGUUUAGUAUGAAUAUGAUGUUUAUUUAUUGCACUGAUACCACUUGUUUGCGCAGAAGACGCAACCUUAACAGGGAAAGGAGAUUUGAAGGCAUAAAUGAAGCAGCAUAAGUCUAACGUCCGGAAAGCGGAACUGAAUUUGUUCUUCAAUCAACAGCGUAUGAGAUGGGCAGCAUGGACCAUUCUUCCAACUCCUUCCCUGAAGAAAGGUUGGUUGGUAGGCAGGUGAUGGAACUAUGGGAUGCGGGGUGUCAACAUUGAGGUUUAGCGUGGGCCAUUUGGAGGGCACGGAAUAAAAUGGUGAUAGAAAAGAAAUUCCCUGCUUCUCCAAUUGAUAUUCUAUUUUCUAGGAUUUUAUUUUGCAGAGGUGGAAGGUCAUACUCAAAACUGAUGAAAAGGCAACCAUGGAGGCAUUGAUGAUAAAAAAAAAAUGCAAUGGAUCACUGCUUUUGUUGUCAGUUCAGUGCCUGUUACUGAUAUAGUGUAACUUUAGGUUUUUUCAUGAAGUGCUGCUCUUGAGGUUUAUUCCUGGUUAGCUCAUGGGUGAUCUAGUGUUCUCUGGUUCUGGUAAUCAUGCUUGUAUAAGAAUCCUUGUUGGCUUUCAAUAAAAAUCGAGUAAUCUCC